UCUUCUGUAGCUCAUCAGUGGUAGAGCGUCCGAUCGACCGGUGUGUGGAAGGUCAUAGGUUCGACUCUUGUUGGUAGAA